rnacentral:rRNA from 1 species
UACGGGGGGGGCAAGCGUUGUUCGGAAUUACUGGGCGUAAAGGGCUCGUAGGCGGCCAACUAAGUCAGACGUGAAAUCCCUAGGCUCAACCUAGGAACUGCGUCUGAUACUGGAUGGCUUGAAUCCGGGAGAGGGAUGCAGAAUUCCAGGUGUAGCGGUGAAAUGCGUAGAUAUCUGGAGGAAUACCGGUGGCGAAGGCGGCAUCCUGGACCGGCAUUGACGCUGAGGAGCGAAAAGCCAGGGG